GGCAGGUGAUGAAAACCUUGCGUGUCAUCUGACUCUGCCGUCGGAGGUGGCUGGGAUCCUCCUUGGCCUUCCUCUGAAGGCUUGGAGCGAUUCCGUCCGUCUUUCGGUGGACGUGAUCAGAACGUCUUCCAUUCUGAUGCC